UUCACCAUCUCCGAACUUUUUCUGGAAACCCAAGUCUAAAAUUAGACCGUAUUUUCCGAAAUCUGGGCGGUGACCUGGGUCACGUGGGGUCAAACGUGAGGUCAAACUAGGUUCAGCAAGGAGCGGGAGUAAUGGCUUUGCGCGCGAAAGUAUUUCUGUGGAAUAAAAUCGUUUUAUUGUGUUUGCAGAUGGAGGGAGCUGAAAAAUCUUUAUGACAAAUUACAUCUCAGAAUGUCUGCCAUUGAAAACUACCAAGGAUGGACUGGGAUGGCAAUUACAGGAGACAAAAUCUGCAUGCAAAGCACUGUGAUGUGAUUUGUACAGGCCAAGAUGUCUCAAGUUUUACAACCAAUCAACCAUAUUGAAGUUUUGUGUGACAGAUUUUCCUCAGCAAAAAAAUAAGGCUGCCAAACAGACAAGAUGCUAGAGCUCACAGUGUUGUCUGCAUUUUGAUGACAAAACAGUGAUGUGUGCUUUUUUUGGAAGAAGUAAAAAGAUAGACUCUGAUGUAUUUCAUAUUUGCAUGUAUUGUUUCGUAUGAUACAAUUUGCCCGUACAAGUGGCUAUGCCCAUAAAAGAGGCACACUAUUGCUUGUUGUGUUUGUUAUCUGUCAGUAUAAAAAAGUAAUGUCAAUCUCCUGAGAUGAUGAUUUGUGCUGAUUCGUCUGUACCAUAAGUCAUAUAGCUUGUCCCGUCUGUCCGAAAUUAUAAAAUUAUACUAUACCGACUCGUUUGCCAAGUACGCUGUCUUAAUGAAAUAUUGAUAGUACUUGGUAGACCAGUGCUGUCUAUCACAUCUCGGAGAAAUAUGAUACAUCGAGCAAGGAUCGUUGGCAAAUACAACGUGACACGUUAGGAAAAAUACAGUCAAGCUGAAAAACUUUUCAUAGAAUCUUACUUUUGAAAUAUUAAAUAAGGCGGAUAGUACUUCGAAAUUUCAACACGUUGUAAAACAAAACCGAUUGCUGACUGAUCAUUUUUUCCUGAACGUCUCAUUUUCUAUUUGCUAUCGAGCCUUUAUGUCCAACUACAUGUCAUGAUCUGGCAUUGAAGUAAUGUGAAUUUUGUCCUCAUGCGUCACAGGAUAGUUAUCAUUUUCUCACUAUCCUGUUGCUAACUUUUUCCAAAUUUCGAUCAGUAGGGAAACAAAACAACAUGACGUUGGAAUUUUCUCCUAAAUUACUAAUGUAUGACACGUUGUUGAACAUCAGUGUCCAAUGUAGGGAGAAACUUCUCCUAAUUCGAAACGAUUAUACCUAAGAAAUGUCAAAGCAUUAUGUGUUUUGUUACUGGACAAAUAUUCCAAAACAGUCCACCUUGAUAGUUUUAUAGUAUAUGUAGGAUUUCAUGUUCGGUCAAACAGCAUCAGUGACACUAUACGAAUUUGUCCAAGGCAGGAGAAACUUCUCCUAUUACAACAUGAUGAUGCAUACGAAAUGCCAAAGCAUUGUGCCCUUGUAUGUACGGGACACGUUUUCCAAAACAGUCCACCUUGAUACUUUUUAAGUAUAUAUAGGAUUUCAUGUUUUAGUCAAACAUAUACUCCUCGGAUGGUACAUACACGUGUUUUUUAAGUAUUUAAGGAAAAGUUGGCAUUUGGGCAUUUCAACCAUCAUGACAAGGUGGUCCAUACUCGUGUUUUUUUAAGUAUUAAAGGAAAAAGUUGUCAUUUGGGCAUUUCGGCCAUCGUGAACAUACUUUGGGACCUAG